CCGGCUCAACCGGGGAGGGUCAUUGGAAACUGGGGAACUUGAGUGCAGAAGAGGAGAGUGGAAUUCCACGUGUAGCGGUGAAAUGCAUAGAGAUGUGGAGGAACACCAGUGGCGAAGGCGACUCUCUGGUCUGUAACUGACGCUGAGGCGCGAAAGCGUGGGGAGCGAACAGGAUUAGAUACCCUGGUAGUCCACGCCGUAAACGAUGAGUGCUAAGUGUUAGAGGGUUUCCGCCCUUUAGUGCUGCAGCAAACGCAUUAAGCACUCCGCCUGGGGAGUACGGUCGCAAGACUGAAACUCAAAGGAAUUGACGGGGGCCCGCACAAGCGGUGGAGCAUGUGGUUUAAUUCGAAGCAACGCGAAGAACCUUACCAGGUCUUGACAUCCUCUGACAACCCUAGAGAUAGGGCUUCCCCUUCGGGGGCAGAGUGACAGGUGGUGCAUGGUUGUCGUCAGCUCGUGUCGUGAGAUGUUGGGUUAAGUCCCGCAACGAGCGCAACCCUUGAUCUUAGUUGCCAGCAUUCAGUUGGGCACUCUAAGGUGACUGCCGGUGACAAACCGGAGGAAGGUGGGGAUGACGUCAAAUCAUCAUGCCCCUUAUGACCUGGGCUACACACGUGCUACAAUGGGCAGAACAAAGGGCAGCGAAGCCGCGAGGCUAAGCCAAUCCCACAAAUCUGUUCUCAGUUCGGAUCGCAGUCUGCAACUCGACUGCGUGAAGCUGGAAUCGCUAGUAAUCGCGGAUCAGCAUGCCGCGGUGAAUACGUUC
rnacentral:rRNA from 1 species